GCUUAAAACCUGGAAUCGACACAAACUGGCAAUUGGAAUACAUCUCGGCUAAUCCUGGAGCGUAUGUGGCCGCCAUGCAGCUGCUGGAUUAGAGGGAUUACCUAAUCAGACGAACGCACCGCAGUGAUUGCAUUUUCUUAGUACUCAUUUCCACGGACUGGACAGAUAUAACUCGAUAAGUUCGAGUCGCCGUCAUAUACCCACUUAUCCGGCACUUGGCGCUAUGCUUUUUGCGCGUAGGCGGCAUUUCUUCAAGAGUACGCAACCGGUGAGAAUCAUUCGAAUCCGUUAACUCCCGAUCGAACCGAAUCGAAUCGAGCAAAACAUAUCUAAAUUCCCAUAAGCAUUAGAGCAAAAGUGACCGAAAGCAAUGAGUGGGCUUUAUAGUACUAUAAACACAAUAUUCUAUGCUACAAUCAUUCCCGGAGCGAUCUUCAUUAGUUGGCUAAUUGGGCUGUAAGUAUCAUCGAGCUCCUCGCA